UCGAGAAUCUUUGGCAAUGGGCGAAAGCCUGACCAUGCGACGCCGCGUGCGGGAUGAAGGCCCUCGGGUCGUAAACCGCUGUCACGGGGGACGAAGUCUCGCCGCCCGAAUAAGGUGGCGAAAUUGACGGUACCCCGAGAGGAAGCCACGGCUAACUCCGUGCCAGCAGCCGCGGUAAUACGGAGGUGGCGAGCGUUGCUCGGAUUCACUGGGUGUAAAGGGCAAGUAGGCGGUUCCGCAAGUCGGGUGUGAAAUCCCACGGCUCAACCGUGGAACUGCGUCCGAAACUGCGGGACUUGAGGACAGGAGAGGUGAACGGAAUUCCCGGUGUAAGGGUGAAAUCUGUAGAUAUCGGGAGGAACACCAGUGGCGAAGGCGGUUCACUGGCCUGUCCCUGACG
rnacentral:rRNA from 1 species